UAUCAUGGAUGGAUGACUGUGGUUCUGAAGGUCUUGUUUAGAUCAUGGAUGGAUGACUAUGGUUCUGAAGGUCUUGUCUAUAUCAUGGAUGGAUGACUAUGGUUCUGAAGGUCUUGUUUAGAUCGUGGAUGGAUGACUAUGGUUCUGAAGGUCUUGUCUAUAUCAUGGAUGGAUGACUAUGGUUCUGAAGGUCUUGUUUAGAUCGUGGAUGGAUGACUAUGGUUCUGAAGGUCUUGUUUAUAUCAUGGAUGGAUGACUAUGGUUCUGAAGGUCUUGUUUAUAUCAUGGAUGGAUGACUAUGGUUCUGAAGGUCUUGUCUAUAUCAUGGAUGGAUGACUAUGGUUCUGAAGGUCUUGUCUAUAUCAUGGAUGGAUGACUGUGGUUCUGAAGGUCUUGUUUAGAUCAUGGAUGGAUGACUAUGGUUCUGAAGGUCUUGUCUAUAUCAUGGAUGGAUGACUAUGGUUCUGAAGGUCUUGUUUAGAUCGUGGAUGGAUGACUAUGGUUCUGAAGGUCUUGUCUAUAUCAUGGAUGGAUGACUAUGGUUCUGAAGGUCUUGUUUAGAUCGUGGAUGGAUGACUAUGGUUCUGAAGGUCUUGUCUAUAUCAUGGAUGGAUGACUAUGGUUCUGAAGGUCUUGUCUAUAUCAUGGAUGGAUGACUGUGGUUCUGAAGGUCUUGUUUAGAUCGUGGAUGGAUGACUAUGGUUCUGAAGGUCUUGUCUAUAUCAUGGAUGGAUGACUAUGGUUCUGAAGGUCUUGUUUAGAUCGUGGAUGGAUGACUAUGGUUCUGAAGGUCUUGUUUAGAUCGUGGAUGGAUGACUAUGGUUCUGAAGGUCUUGUUUAUAUCAUGGAUGGAUGACUGUGGUUCUGAAGGUCUUGUUUAGAUCGUGGAUGGAUGACUAUGGUUCUGAAGGUCUUGUCUAUAUCAUGGAUGGAUGACUAUGGUUCUGAAGGUCUUGUUUAGAUCGUGGAUGGAUGACUAUGGUUCUGAAGGUCUUGUCUAUAUCAUGGAUGGAUGACUAUGGUUCUGAAGGUCUUGUCUAUAUCAUGGAUGGAUGACUGUGGUUCUGAAGGUCUUGUUUAGAUCGUGGAUGGAUGACUAUGGUUCUGAAGGUCUUGUUUAUAUCAUGGAUGGAUGACUAUGGUUCUGAAGGUCUUGUUUAGAUCGUGGAUGGAUGACUAUGGUUCUGAAGGUCUUGUUUAUAUCAUGGAUGGAUGACUGUGGUUCUGAAGGUCUUGUUUAGAUCAUGGAUGGAUGACUGUGGUUCUGAAGGUCUUGUCUAUAUCAUGGAUGGAUGACUGUGGUUCUGAAGGUCUUGUUUAGAUCGUGGAUGGAUGACUGUGGUUCUGAAGGUCUUGUCUAUAUCAUGGAUGGAUGACUGUGGUUCUGAAGGUCUUGUUUAGAUCGUGGAUGGAUGACUGUGGUUCUGAAGGUCUUGUUUAGAUCGUGGAUGGAUGACUGUGGUUCUGAAGGUCUACUGUAGGUGUGUACAGCCUUUUGUUACAGCCCAGGAACAAAAGUUUCCUGAUCUAAAUAAUCAUGGUCUUCAGUAAUAAAAGAAACGGAGGUCCAGCAAUGUAUGUUCCAGUGUGGUGACACAAAAAGAGAGAAGAUCUUAGUGUUUAACUCUUGGAUCUACGGUGAGCCAUAGAGCUUUCUGAGAUUCAUGCUGUGGCACUUACACAUGUCAUGUCAUUCAGUCUCAGUUUGAAACAGGCAUGGCUUUGAUAAGCAAAACAUAAAAAGACUUUACCAGAAAAGUAUGGAUAUAUUCCCAAGGGCAUCACAGCAAUUAGGCAAACAAGCGAGGCAGUCACUAGGCAGUUCAUUAACAUUCUGCCAGUCAGUCAUUCUCAGCAUGCUCUCAGUCUCCAGUACCAAUACUGUUAUUCCUUUGUUAAGACAAUGGAGGGUUUUGGAUCCCACUUCUGACACCAAACUAUGCUAGCUAGCUUUGGUGAGCAA